GGGGCUGACAAAGCUUAGACGGAUUAUUAACAGAUAUCAGGCAUGACGAUUGAUACCGUAAGUAUUGAAAAAGUGAAGAAAAUACUUCCAAGCACGUGCUUUAUGCACCUGCUUUUGCCUAAUUUAAUAUAGGCUGGUCUAACUCCAAGUUUUCGUAGUAGUUAGAUUAUCAGAUUUACGAGAAUAGAUUUCGGACAGUGACGAGGCUGAAGUCGAAAAUCAGUCAUGGUAAUCUAUAGUUUUGUUAUUUGUCGCUAUAGAUAUAAACCAAGAUUAAAUAAAUAACUAUGCAUGUAGAAUGAUAUCAUGAAGAUUUUUCGGACCCGGAGGCAGUAUCCGGCAGCUCCACCA
rnacentral:tmRNA from 1 species